rnacentral:rRNA from 1 species
CACGCCGUAAACGUUGAGAACUAAGUGUUGGGGAGACCCAGUGCUGAAGCUAACGCAUUAAGUUCUCCGCCUGAGGAGUACGCACGCAAGUGUAAAACUUAAAGGAAUUGACGGGGGCCCGCACAAGCAGCGGAGCAUGUGGUUUAAUUCGAGGCUACGCGAAGAACCUUACCAGGGCUUGACAGGAAACUUAAGACCCUAGAGAUAGGGGGAUAAUAAGUGAAACAGGUGG